AACCAAAAUGCACCCCGCUGAGAGUAUUGAGAAGCAAUGCACCAAAGAAUUUGUACCCAGAUUUCCUACAACUUUGAAAUCGAUGGCUGAAAAUUCAACUAGACAACCACCAACCCGAUCGGACGGUCCAUGUUAUAUGGAUCCGCUGGCUUCAACGCGCGACCGACCGAUCCCACCUCCACCCCGCGCAGCAAGCCCCUCAACCGGGCAACGUUCGAAUCCCACGAACAACAAAUCUUGCGGCCCUAUUCUGAAAAUCUAGCGCGGCCCUCACUCCCGCGCGUCUCCUGCAAACCUCGCCGCCAACCUCCCGUGCGAGCCCCGCCCUGCGCCUCCCGCUGAACUGCCGCGCGCCUCCCCUCCACCGGCCUGCGGGCUCGGAGCCGGCGGCCAGAGUGCCGCGCACUUCCCCUCCACCGGCCUGCGGCCUCGGACGCCGCCGCCGGGACGCGCACCGCCUCCGGGACGCGCGCCGCCUGCGGGCUCGGCUGCCGCCGCCGGCGCGCGCGUAGGCGCAGGUUUGGGGCGCCGCCGCUGGCACACGCGCGGGUUGCGGGCUCCACACGACGCCGCCGGCCGCGUCGAGACGACCCUAAACCCCCCUCGCGACCCUAACCUAAUCUGAUUCCCCCCCGAACCCUAACCCCCCUGACCUCCCGUUUCCUUCGCAGGAUCCAGCCGCGGCCGGCGGCUCCGCCGCGACAAGGACGAGCUCCCCUCCGACAGCACCUCCGGCUCCGACUUUAUCGCCGACUCCGAGGAUGAGGUGGGAGACGACGACGACAAGGGGUUCGCGCCCGAUGAGGACGCCCCGCCCACGAUGGCUGCGCCGCCACCCCGCCGAUGCUGAUGCCGGUGGGGGGGGGGGUGCCGAAUCGGGCACGGAACUGCGCUCCUCCGCUGCACGCGGUGACCCGCCGCUGCAGGCCCUCAACCAGAUCUAGAAUCGGGAGGGGCGGGGGCGGAGAUCCAGGGCGGGGACGCGCCGUGCUGCCUCGCCUGCCCGCGCAGGAGCCGCGUUGCUCACCCGAGCGCGAGCAGCCGCGUGCCCCCACCCCUCCCAACGGCAGCCGUGUGCAGGCCCAGCCGGCCGCGGCCCUCCGCUGGCCACGCGGCCGUGCGCAGGCACAUGGUGCCCCGCCACUGCAGCCGCGCCCUUCUGCUUGCCUGCAUGCACGCCCCGCCGGCCACGCGCAGCUGGGUUUUCGCCGUCCGGGAGACCGGGACUCCCGCAGCUGGGUUUUCAUCUUCUCCGCCGUGGGUGACAUGCUGCUCAAGCUGGGAAGCCGGUGCCUCCGGUUAGUCACAGCAAAAGCAGUAUGCGUGGAGCCGCAUCCCAGCAGGCAAGAUGGGGACUUUUCUCUCUGCGUGAGCACCUGCAGCACAAUGGAACGUAUCUGCUCGUGUGAGAAGGUUUAGGUUGUUUAGGAGAAGAGAAGAACACCAAGCAAGCGGCUAAUUGUUAGGGUAACAGCAAUUAGCUCAUUCACCGCAUCGAGCUUGGCUGGUCAUGUACUAAUUAUUUUUCAAAGGGACAUGCUCUUGUGAACAAGGCCAUGGGACUGUUGCAUUGCCCACAAAGUGUUUUCUGGUGCGCAAUGGGGAACGGGGUUUGGCUGAGAGACUUGAUGCUGAUUAAAAGUUAUGCUGUGAACACUGAGAUGAGAGGCAAGAAUCCCUGAAGCAAACGUCCAUUCGCAGGCUUCCAUUAGUUUCCUGCUUUCACAUAAAGAGAUUUGAGAACUGCUGAGCAAAAGUUCAGUUUCAUUUGAUGAUAUUUAUUGGUAGCCUUUUCACAACCUUGACAAAGACAUACAAAGAUGAAGCCAUAUGAAUAUGGAUUCCGUGUGUUAUUGUUGAUAUUCUGUUAUGUUAUGGUCUCACUGGGAAGUUCGCUGAUACAGCUACAAGCAGAUUUAUAUUGAUUGCUCUUUGUCUAGCAAUUCUUAAGAUGAUACAUCAAAAUUAAAUGUAUGAUCCCAUAAAGUUGUGAUUUUACUCUAUGCAUAUGGUUGUCCUUUGUGUAAAGCAAAUAUUUUUCAGUUUGAACUAUGGAACAAAUUAUGGAUCAUGUGUUGUUUA